ACUAAGAAGUUAAAAAGACAUCCUUAUCACCAGAGACAGAGACUUUAAAGCUGAGAAAGGUGUGGAAACAAACGUUGUUACUUUUUUUUUCUUUUGUAAUUUACUAACUCGGCCCGAAUUCCACUUCAUAAUUCCUUGCUAAUUAAAGCUCCCAAACAUCUAUUUUCUUUAUCCCGUCAAUUACUCACCAAUUUGUUAUCUCUUUGUCCGAAAAGCAUAAAAACUGCUUCGGUGUUUCUUUGGGUCUCAAUUGCAUUAUUAGGCCUCCACGUGCACUGAAUAAAACCUAGUUUUUCCUCCUCCUAUUCACGGGUCUCGUGUAGAUUUAAUUCUUAGUCCAUCUGGAAGACCUCAUCUGAGUUUCAUUCCAGCCAAAUAUUGGAACUGUGGUAUACUGUGUGCUUGUCAUAAUUACAGUCUGUAGGUGAUGAUGUUGUGGAAGAAGGUUCCAAAAUGAAGUGAGCGUUGCAAAGAGUCAUUCAAAACAGGGUCUGGAGGAUACUGAAGCCGCGCCUAUGCACCUGUCCUGUUGCAAUUCUCAGCACGAGGUGAACUUUUGACUUUAAUCAACUACAUCUUGUCAAUUGCACGCCCACCACCUCCUGGAACACAGAUUCCGGUUCCGGUUCUGUCUUCACUCAUAGCUGAGGGGAGCCUUCUGUCUUCCCCCAUUCUGAGUGGGAGAGCCGGGUUUCAGGUUCUCGGUAGACACUGCAGCAUAAUUUUAUUGCACAGUUACUCCAUCAAGGCACUGGAUGUCGCAGUGAAGAGACCAUGCCGUUUAUUGCACAAAGGACUUAUAAAUAUUCUUCUACGGGUGUCGAUUGGGCCACUAAGUAAGAGAAAAAGACUUGGCUUUGGGGUCGAUCAAUUUGGAGAUUGUGGGAAUCAACUCUUAACUGUCUCUUGGUUGCUGUCAGAACUUGUCAGACAAAUCACUCAAACUCUCAGAGCCUGA
rnacentral:lncRNA from 1 species